UUUUAUUUGAGAUGGAACCAUUCGUAAUAUUUAUCAUUGUUGUUGUCUGCGUAUUCACCUUAAUUGUAAUACUCACGACGCUGUGUCGACUUGCCACCGGAAGAGGAGGAUUUGGAAGUGGAGGUGGUGGUGGUUUCAACAAUCACUACAACCAUCACAACAACCACCACCAUCUUCACAACGAAAUGAUGAUGGGUGGGAUUAUUGGUGGCACCGCUGGUGGAAUGGUGGGUGGGAUUACUGCUGACACUACUGUUAAUGCUUGUGGUGGAGGUGGUGGAGCAAAUGCAUGUUAGAGCAAUAGGAUAUUCCAAUUCUUUUGUAUAACAAAUUUAAUUUAAUGAUUUUUAUUAGGUUAAGCUGUGGGAUUUUAUUAUCAACAAACAAAGCAAGUUCAUUGGAUCUUAAUUGCAGUGAAUGUAUUCAAUAUAUUAUUCCCUUUUCAGUUUGAAUUUAGAUUAAUGAAUUAUGAUA
rnacentral:lncRNA from 1 species